AUGAAGCUGCGGACACUGGACAACCGUGCGUCCGUUAACGAAUCCCAGAUCACUUCUCCCAUCUCUUCACUCCAGUUGACAGCCACACUCGGGGAAACGAAGGUGUCGCUUGGUCUGGCGCCUCACUGCUCGUGAUGGAAAAAGCAGCAGCGGCGUUCGCCCUGUCAACCGAACGAGGCAGUCGGUCCUACAUUUCCUUUGGUUGGACAAGACGACGUAGGAAAAGAGAUACCGUUUUUGCGGUGCUCACGCUGAACAGAAGCGACAGCCUAGCAAG
rnacentral:lncRNA from 1 species